UACGUAGGGGGCUAGCGUUGUCCGGAAUGAUUGGGCGUAAAGCGUCCGCAGGUGGCUGUGUAAGUCUGCUGUCAAAGAGCAAAGCUCAACUUUGUAAAGGCAGUGGAAACUACACGGCUAGAGUGCGUUCGGGGCAGAGGGAAUUCCUGGUGUAGCGGUGAAAUGCGUAGAGAUCAGGAAGAACACCGGUGGCGAAGGCGCUCUGCUAGGCCGCAACUGACACUGAGGGACGAAAGCUAGGGGAGCGAAUGGG
rnacentral:rRNA from 1 species